GGCACUGUGCGCGAGAGAGGAGGGAAAGGGGAAGCGUUCGUGCCUCUCUGCCCCCUGUCCCCCUCUUGCUGCAUAGUAGCCACAUCCAUGUCUCUUGUACCCUGCAAUCUGGAGGCCACUGCCAGAAGCUGGAAAUCUCAAGUAGAGCAGCAAAAGGCUUGAGGAUGGAUUCUUGGCUCCUGGUGCAUUGCCACUCCCUGCCACCCUCCUCCUUGUCUUCUAUCUUCUCCUGGUGGCGUCAGGCCUUGCUUCGUGUCCCAACAGGAGCCUCUGGGGCUGGCACAGCCCUCACUGCCUACAACCUGGGCCUGGUGGUUCUCCUAGGGUGCCUCUGGGAGGUCAUGGUCACCCCGCUGCUGGCUAACUGCAGCUACUUCUGCCAGCCAGUGGACUACAGAUGGAGAAAGCAUGGAAUGAGGGUAUGGCAGGGAGCAGGAAGCAAGCCUGGAGAGGGUUAGGAGGAACAACUUCAUAACAAUCGGAGGUCAAGGAGGCAUCUUCCUGGAGACAGGAAGGUAGGCACUGUGGAAUCAGCGGUGCGUAGAACAGUGAGGAUUUGGGGCUGAACCCAGCCCAGGUGGGCCAAGCCGUGGCACCAGCCGGACUGCAGUCUGAUGGAACUUCCCCUUCCUGCCCAGCAGAUGGCGAGCGUGUGCUGCUGGUGCCUCUUUCCAAAGGACGUUGAAUUGCUUGACAGCCCUGCCCAGCAUCUAGAAGACCACCUGAAGCUUUCACACUUUGAGACCUUAGAUCCUGCGAGGGUUUGAAUUUCAAAAGCUUCAAUUAAAGCACACAGUGUUCUUUACUUUAUGAAUGAAGCCAGAGCAGCCCACCUUCCUGCAUCUCUACCACCAUGGCACCAUGCCCUGUGAUGGGUGGGCUGGAGUCAAAUAUGUAGCAGGCAGCCAGGGUCAGUUUGUGGCCACUGCUGCCCCCUCUUCCUACAGUCUCCUCACUGAGUGCCCCUUCCCUGUUGGGUUCAACACAUCUGUGCUCCUGUAAGCCCUCAGCCUCCUCGUUCUCUUCCUCAACUUCUACCACCAGACACAUCUGAGAAGCAAGCAAGAGAGGCUGAACUAGGAGCAGGACCCAGGGACUGAAACCAGCACAGCAUCCCCACAGAGAAUUGGGUGGAAGGCAGCAUGGCUUCCAGCUUACUGGUGCUGAGCAGAUUGCUCUGGGUCUCCAUUGUAUCCUCUGAAGGAAGGAGGAGGAUUGCCUUCUGUCCAGAUCUCAGGAUCAAACAAAUAGGUCCAAUUUCCUGUGCUCACUUCAGUUAGAGCACUUCUCAUGUGACUUUGUAGCUUUGUGUGCAUCUCCUUCCUCUACUAGACCUAAGCCCCUCACGGGAGGGACUCUCUUAUUCUUGAUGUUCCCCACACCUGGAAUUUCAAUAAACAUCUCAAUAAAC
rnacentral:lncRNA from 1 species